AACUGUCCCCCCUGAAUUAAGAUAGUACAGCUCAUUAAAGAGUGUGAUAGGAUACCAUUCAGGAAGUCUCUUGUCUUUGAGAAUUGGUCUUUGCCAGGCUUCUAUCUGGGACUCCCAAUGGUCAUGCCCUAGAAUAGCAUCAUGUGCAAUUCUUGCUGCUGCAUCUCCAUGGGUACCGUAGAAUUUUGUGUAACACCUGUGAUAAGUCCUUCCGCCACUGAAGCACACUUCAGGGCAGUCCCAUGCCAAUGAAAAUGUAACAGAGCGUACUGCAUCUGGUGGAAUUGUCACAGAGGCUGCGAUGGCUGCCCCAAUAGAUGAUCCGAGUUCUGACGGCAGUGGCGUUCCAUCAGACUUAAGUUUGUCAAAGGAUCCAUGCUCUUUUAUUUCAUGCCACAUGUCUUUUGCUGUUAUGCCUUGGGAGUUUCCGCAUAUCACAAAUCGUGGGCAUUUUGAGACAUGUAUGCCACUGAUCUCCUGUGCAGUGAUAGCAAAAGUCACAGGGGGAAAACCAUGCGCCGUCUUGUGAUGUAGAAGGACACCAUGCACACCAUCCUCCAUUCUAGCAGGACCAAUAAUAUGUCAGUUAGCAUAAAAAUUACAAGCACACAUGCACUUUUACAUAUUUUGUUGUAGAAUUGAAGUGCAGACCAGAAUAUUCAGAAUCCCCUCCAACAGAAUUCUGAAUAGGCAUAUACAACAAUGAAUUUGCAUGAGAUUUGAUGGCUUCUAAAAUAUAAAUCUAUGUAAAAAUUCAUUUCAUACUGAGCAUGUCUGACUCGCCUAAACAAAUAAGUAUUAACCAGCAGAGAUGCAACAUAGAAACAUUCAUGAAAAGAGAUGAAUGCAAGGUAAAAAUUGACUUACCGCCCAUGUAAAAAGCAAGGAGACAUCUGCAGCAGUCUUCCCAGAGUUAUAGAGCUGAAGAAAAUAAAUGAUACUUAAUACCAUGGUAAGCUAUGCAUAUGUCCAACAAUCAAACUUCAUAGAGAUACUUUUCUACCGUAAAAGUGAAAACUGCCACAGGGAAGCUACUCUCCUUAAAAUUAUGAGGAAUAACAGGUGAAAUUUGACAACAAACAAUUCUAAGUUCAAAUUUGACGACAAACAAUUCUAAGUUCUGGAUCAGGUUCACCUGUAUUUAGUGAGUUGAAUGACCAGAUAUGAGAAAAAAUUUUCCAAAAUGAUAGCCUCAACAAUUUAACUUGUAUAAGACCAGAUAAUGCAGAUUACCUUCAAAUAUGGUCCAUGACCUUGGAUAUAAAGCAUGAUAUGUAGAAUUUUCUCCCUUUAGAUUCCAGUCCCAAGAUCCAAUUCCGGAAACUGUAGAUUCUCUGAGUAUGAACAUGACAUUCAUUAAGUUGGUCAUUAACCGGUUUUCUUUCUUCACUUAUUUUCUUAAGAACCUCUGGGUUCUUUGGGCACAGAACACUAGAGUACUUCACACCAUUUGAGCGUGAAAUGAAAACAGCGAAAGCAAGGAAAGUUGGGCGCGUCAAUCUUAAGCCAUUUGCCCUUCAAAGUUCAAGGACAGAGAAUAACAUGCCACCCCAUCCCUCAUCUUCAGCAUGAAUCGAGCUCUUAGACAUAAAAUGUAGAUAAGAAGCCAGCAAUUACUCAAACAGCUAAUACAUUAGUCAAAACAGCUUGUAAAUGAUGGAAAAAUAUAAAGGCAUAUGAGUAUUUGCACCCAACAACAUAUAAAUAGGUCCCAAAACACAGGAGGAAUGAUGUCUUAUGAGACAGCUACAUAGAUUCAAAC
rnacentral:misc_RNA from 1 species